UUUUGAUACCUAAGAUUGAACUCAUGUCUUUGCACUUGCCAGACAGGUGCUUAGGCUGCUGAGAUAAAUCCCUAGCCCAUUAAUUGAGUUUUGAACCAAGAUCAUCUUUUAACAAGACUUACUGUUUUACCCUCAGAAGACUUAAUGUUUUGACAAUGAUCAAUUUACACGUAUCACAAUAUUAUAUUUAACAACGUUUUUAGGGAUGUAUACCAUAAGGUUAUGGAGAUUAUAGGGGCCCCCAUUAAUGAACAGAGGUAGGCCACCACUCUUUUAUGGGAAGAUGCACAGCCACUCUUUAGGAAUCCUGUCUAACAAUUCUCCUAAGCCUAGAGGUCCUCAUUUAAUCAUUUUUAACAAAAUCUUGAUAACCUAUGAGAACCAGAUCAUAGCAAUUAACACAUUAUCUUUGAAUAAUGAAAGACUCUGAAAUUAUACACAGGCAACAAUGUGUACUGCAUUUAUAAAUCCAAUUUUGAUAUUACUUUAGUAUCAAAGCAUUAUUUUCAACCUGGGUGAAAACAUGUCUUUAAUUUUGAUGACAUCUAUCUGUAAGUCGAUUUAAAUUACAGAAAAAUGUUUUAAAAAUCCAGAAAGGUAAAAAGAUGAAAAAUUGCUGAGCUCAAAUAAAACUGCUGUUAAAGAUUAGACAGGCAGACAAACAAAUAAACAUAAGACAAUUUGUUUAUAAAAUGAGAGUGCACUCAGAUAUUUUCAGCCAAAUUGAAUUAUAAUGUCAUUUAUAAUUUUAGAAGUUUGUAAUUAUAAGUAGACUAAUUAGAGAUCUCUUAUAAUUAGAACUAGAAGAAAUAAAAAGCUUUCAUUUAUAAUUAACACAUUUUGUGGGAUUUAUUUUUCUUCAGAAUGCUGGCAACUUCACGCACCUUUCCCUUUGUAUAGCUUUCACUCUGUCUUGUUUAAGCUUUUUUCACUUUUUCAGAGCUUUUUCCUUUAACAGCAUUUGUGGAAUCGCUCUUUCUGUACGAUUUAAAAUAGCAAAAAAAAAUGUGUCUAGUGGUGUUAUAAAGCUUUAGGCUGGUCAGAAACCAACAGCAAUUUUAUGUAAAGAUGUAUGCUUGAUUUCAGUCAUCAUAGACUUCAUUGGCUGAAAUGAAAAUUUGACAAAAUUUAAAUGUGACUGAAGCCUUUUGUGUAGUUUGGGCUAAUAUUGAACUUUUACAAGAUUAAGUUUUUAUAAUUGCUUAAAUAAGCUUUCCCUUUGCUGGUACCUUGUUCUGGCUCUGGCUAGGGCUGUGUCCUACUCUUUGGCUCCACACAUUCCUGACAUCCUAGCCCCCAUUCUAAGGGCAAUUUUGACUGCAAUUUUUGUUUUUUUAUUAUUGAAAGCCCAUUGAAUCACAGUAAUUUUUGUUGCUGGUGAGUGAGAAAUCUGCCACUAUCUCAUGUGUUGUCAUGACUGUGCCUAUGCUUACUGUUGGCCACAGGUACCGCUGCCAUUUGAUGACAUAAGUGCAUGAAUACAUGAGAGAGGAUGGGUGCCAGGGCAGCUGGCAUGGGCAGAUGCACAGGAAAGGCAAUGCAUCCUUGUUGAUCGGUGCUGGGACAAGUGGAACAUGCAGCCUGUGUUCUCUGCUGAGGCUGACAUGCUGUUUUCACAAUGUAAACAUUUGAGUUCCUUCCAUCUUUCUUGUCCUAGCUGGGCUAUAGACUCAGUAGAUCACAAGGCUUUAGAGGUACCACCCUUAACUCACUGAUCCAGCUCCCUUCCUUGCUUGGGGAUCUGUGAGAGGUGAUGGUAGAAGUAGAAUGCUGUGGUUUCUUCUUGAUCCUAUACUUUUGCCUUGUGGUGGUUUCUUUAAGAAUUUUUAAGUAUCUAUCUAGAUAGAUUGGUGCUGGUUUGUUUUUUCCACAAUCUUUUAGAUUGAAUUGUUCUCUCCCCAAACACCUCUCGGUGGUGGUGGCUGAGUAAAGACUCCUGUGCCUGGGGAGUCAGCUCUUCCUGCAGAGUCUUUACCUUGGAGGCAGAAGUCUCCGUUGGGAACAUUUUUGUUUUUUUACACUUCUGAAGAAGGAGAUGUUAGCUGCAAGCUCUGUAAAGGUUUUAGAACUGAAUAGGCCAAUUCCAAGUUGACAAAAUCUCAUAGGAAGUAAUUUUUCCUCUGUCAUAUGUACAUUUAAGAUUUUCCCUAAUUCUCUCCCAAUUAUCUGAGAAAACCAUGGAUUAUAUUUGGUUGCCUCUUGUAUCAUUUUUUUAAGUCUUUCGUUGGCCCAUGAGCACCUGAGUGUUUUAAUGAAUAACCAGAUAGAUUUGUGUGAUGUGGAUUUUCCUGGACCUUUCAGGUCAAACUGAUUUUGCUCUGAAUGCCUCUGGGGGCGAUGGCCCUGACACCUGAGGCGGUAGCCUUUUACACCAACUCUGUAAUAGAGCUAAAAUUGAUCUGUGGUUUUUCCCUGUGUUUUAUUCCUAGAUAAUAGAAAUAAAUGACUUAACUGCUGGAAGAGUCAUCCUUCUUCCUUGUGGAAGGUUUUUCCACAGGAGGAGAACCAGCAGCUCCCAAGAUCCAGUCAUGGUGGAACUUAGGCAGCUUAUUCCUCCAUCUCUUGACCCCCUAGAUCUGAUCACAUCACCCAGAGAUCCUGAACUCUGAGCCUCACCCAUCACUUUUGGACCUUCCUUGUGGUAAGGCAGUAUGUUUGCUGUGAAAGAACAAUGUGCAGAGGAUUUGGGAAAAUGUAGGGUGUAUCAUUAUUGUUGGUCUACAAAUCUUUUUGUUCACUUCUUUUGAUAUAUGAUAGGAUGACAUUUUCUUGUAUCAUUGAUGAUAGGUGGUACCAUGUGCUUUGCUUUAGUUAGUAAAAUAUUAAUAGUAAUAUGUCAUUUCUGGGUGAAGUUUCAAGAACUAGUGUGUAGCUUACUACUUUCUUUGCUACUUGGCUCAGAAGUUAAGAUGGAGCUCAUUUCCCUGGGGCUCUGUGAAACCACAGCCUCAGGUGACUUGCGAGAAACUGCAGUGACAAGAAUGCUAUUACUACACGACAAUAUCACCUAUCUUUACUGAUAAAAUCAUCUUUGGUUUACAACACUUGGAAACUCUCUUUUUGAAAUUCUGAACAUAUUAAUAAUUUGAUCUCGUCUUUUCUACCAGCAUAUCUGUACCUCAAAAAUAUAGUAGAUAAUUUAGGCACAAAGUAGCACUGAUUUGAACCUCUGGGCUAUAGCUUUUGAGGUAUUAUCUUUGCAUCAUUAGCUGGGUGUAAGUUUUUCUGUUUUGGCUGAGUCCAGCAUAAACAAGAAGCUCUGAAAUUUAAAACUAUGCCUGAAAAUUGGAAACAGUUUGACUCCUAAGUUUAGAAGGACGUGAAUUAGUAACAAUUGAAGCUAAUUUUCCAGAAGUAGAUUCAGUGAAUCUGAGGAUCAGUUAUCUUCACGUGAACUAAAAAGAGCCACCCAUGUUAUAGUUACUUUGUUUUUAUUAUUUUAAUAUUUAAUGAGAUUUAAAUUAAAAUGUAUAUGAUCACAUAAGUAAUUUACAUUACUAAAUUCUUUAGUAAUUACUGAGCUAAUAUUUAUAUUUGAUUAUUUGUGUAGAAUAAAAAUUUGCUAUACUUACUAUGUAAAUUAGUCCAGAGCAAUUUGUUUGUUACUUUUAGCUAUAAACAGAGAUGACAAACUCAAGCUGAUUUGGGAAAUUAUUUAAUCAGUGAGAGAGAAAAUAUGUGCAAGUAAAACUGAAAUGUCACACUGUACAAACCAAUUUCAGAUUGAAAUAAUAUAAAUUCUGCAUACAAUUUGACUUUCCUGUAAACAUUAACAAUGCAAGUCAUAGUCACAUCUUUAUUUAUGUCACACUAUGCUAUUAUUUUUCAAUAAUAUGUUGAUAUGAGUUUCAAAUAAUGAGUCUCUGUGUGUAAAACUGUACCAGAAAGAAACCUGGAAGAAAAAUCCACCAGUUUACAUUUCUUUAAAUUUAAUAAAAUUUAAAUUAUUGUUAAAAAUGCAUGUUUACAUUUUGUAUAUGAAUUUUAUAUUUAAACUACAUACACAAAAAAUAAAAGUUAGCUUUUACAUGUUCAUCACCA